CAAUCAAACACCUGGAUAUUCCUAGUCACAAAACUGAUGCAUAAAGCAAUCCAAUGGUUGCAAUUGACCCAGACAGGAACGUACAUCCGAUCCAUCAGAUACCCCUCUUUCUGCUCUAAUUUAUGCCUUGUUUUAUCAAUUUGUUUCAGAAGGAAAUCAAACGAAUACAUACCCCAUGGGUAAUUCCGAACCUUCUCCAAAUCCAUCGCCAACUUCAUGUACAGAGGCGGGAUAUUCACCUUCUCAUCAUUCCCCA
rnacentral:lncRNA from 1 species